rnacentral:rRNA from 1 species
GACGAACGCUGGCGGCGUGCUUAACACAUGCAAGUCGAACGGUGAACCUCUUCGGAGGGUGUCAUUGGCGAACGGGUGGGUAACACGUGGGCAACCUGCCCCCGGCUCUGUGAUAACUCCAAGCAAUCUUGGCUAAUACCUGAUGUUCACCGCUUCCCGCCUGGCUUGUUCUGGAAAAGGUUUCCGGCUGGGGCUGGGCCCGCGGCCUAUCAGCUUGUUGGUUGGGUAGUGGCCUACCAAGGCGACGACGGGUAGCCGGCCUGAGAGGGUGACCGGCCACACUGGGACUGAGACACGGCCCAGACUCCUACGGGAGGCAGCAGUGGGGAAUAUUGCGCAAUGGGCGGAAGCCUGACGCAGCGACGCCGCGUGGGGGAUGACGGCCUUCGGGUUGUAAACCUCUUUCAGCAGGGACGAAGCGCAAGUGACGGUACCUGCAGAAGAAGCACCGGCCAACUACGUG